AUGACUGAUGUUGAUCACGGUAUGUUGUUCUGUUCUGGCUAUUCUUGCCUCUGGGCGUUUCUCUGUUUUUCUUUCAGGUCAUUUGCAAAAAACCAUUCUCACCAACUUAGGGCUUUGCUUAUCCCCUUUGGCAGAAACUCGGUCGUGUAAGAAAGCCCAGAUUAUGAGGCUUGAAAUUCUAAUCAUGUAUUGCACCAAAAAGCAUAGCACAUGCAAGAUAUCAUGGGAUUGCUCUUUAAAUACAUUGACAUCUUACACCAGUCUGGCGUUUGCGAGUGGAUUUAUGACGAGAUUGCAGCUGUAAGGGAGACGAUUGUUGCACAAUCAAGAUAAGAUCUCUCCAAUGAGUUAUGUGGUCUCUAUAGCAUCAAAUAUGAAGAAUUUUUUUGGGUGUCAAAGAAAUUUGAAGGGGAAACUAACAUGGUCGAGCCAUGGUAUGCAACUGCAUAUUGCGUAGAUAAACUUACUGACUUGACAAUCCAGGAGUGGGUGCAGCGAGCUUCGAGUGAACAUCUUCGUUUGCCAGUGGCUAAUCAGUUUAUUGCCACUGACUUGCCCCUCAAGAAGACUGACAAGGUGGUCUGAUCAAUCUUAGGUCCAUUUGGCGUGCUUUUUGAACUAAUUCACCAUCUUGACAUUCAUAACAUUGGAUCAGGUCAUGUAUCCAGUGAUUGAACUUUCACACUUCUUGAGAUGUUGCCAUUUAUCUUACAUUGGCUUGAUAACAGGGUCUGCUAUUGACAUGAUGACCAGCACCAUAACUGUUGGUAGUCAAACCAACUGUUGCUCAUAAUGCUGAGGAGGAUUUAAUGCUGUAAAGAAUGAAAUUCGGGGUAGUCAAACCAGAAGGUGGCAAGCAAUUGGCAUCCUAAGGCAUGUUUUGUUCAGCUACUGUACCUUGGAGAUUAAAGAAACAUGCCAUUGACUUCUUGCUUUGCACCACAGAAGGAGAUAUCUCACAGGAGAGUGAGAGUGAAACUCUAGAUUUCUCAUCAUUUGUUCCUAGCCAUUUUGCUGCCUUGCAGUGCAAAAUCUUGGGAUUGACAACGUCAUCAUGUACACAUCGGAUGAUGUGCUAAGGAAGAAAGCUUUUGAUGUACUGGAAAGGGUUAGUGUUUU